CGAAACAUGCCACGCUAUUUGGAGGAUGGCUCGGCUUGAGAGCCGAAGAAGGGCGCGGCAAGCCGCGAUACCGCCUCGGGUAAGCGCAAGCAGCCUUAGAACCGAGGAUACCCGAAUGAGACUUCUCAUCAACCGCAAGGUUGUUGCUCCUUUACGGAGCGGGAACCCCCCGAACGGAAGCAUCUUAGUAGGGGGAGGAAAAGAAACCAAUCACGGGAUUCCCUUAGUAGCAGCGAGCGAACUGGGAAUAGUCCAAACCGAAUCCCGCACAGAAAUGUGUGGGAGAUGUAGGGUUAAGGGCCCGGCUUCCUCUUCAUUGGCAAAGUUGAAAUGGCCUGAAAUGGCCCGCCACAGAGGGUGAAAGCCCCGUAAACGUAAGCCAAAAAGAGUUGAGCUGGAGUCCCAGACUACCGUACCAUGGUUUUGGUGCGGAAAGUUGGGAGUCACCAACUUCCAAGACUAAAUACAACUCAAGACCGAUAGCGCACUAGUACGGUGACGGAAAACUGAAAAGUACCCCGGAAUGGGGGUGAAAAGUGCCUGAAACCAAAUAGUUACAGACGUGCGAGGCCCAGAAGAAACGAAACCUUCCGAAGGAAACCGCUGUGAAGCGGCAUUACGAGGAAGGCGGAUCAGGGUUUCGCGUUCCGUCUAGAAACACGGGCCGGGGAGUUUAUAGCUAUGGCAAGCCUAAAAGCAAACAACUUGUAAGCAAAGGGAAACCAACAAGCACGCAACUCCGCAAGGAGCCAGGUGCAAGGUCUGAAAAGGCCUGAAGUCAUAACUAUACAUACUAGAAACCAGACGAUCUAGCCCUGGGCAGGGCGAAGCUAGGCGAAAGCCUAGUGGAGGCUCGAAAGGGUUCUGACGUGCAAUUCGUUCCCCAGACCUGGGGCUAGGGGCUAAAGACCAAUCUAGUCUGGUGAUAGCUAGUUCCUUCCGAAGUGGGCCUGAGCCCAGUCCUGAGCGAGGCAGCUAGUGGGGUAGAGCACUGAUUGGAAAACAAGGAUUCGAAAGAGUCCACUUUCCUUUCAAACUACGAAUCCACUCGCACUGUAGACCUCGGGAAGCGGGUUACAGGGGGUAAGCUCCUGGACCGAGAGGGGGACAACCCAGACUGAGGUUAAAGUCCCCAAGUGCUGGCUAAAUGUCAAACCAAAGGGCGUCGUCAGCCUCAGACAGCGGGGAGGUAGGCUUAGAAGCAGCCAUCCUUCAAAGAUAGCGUAACAGCUCACCCGCCGAGGCUGACGGCCCCGAAAAUUGACGGGGCUAAGCCAGCCACUGAUACCUCAGAACGCAGCUUAAGCUGCGCUGGUAGGAAGGCGUCCUAGUUGGACAGAAGCUGGGCUGUGAGGUCCAGUGGACCGAUUAGGAUUGCGAAUCCCGGUGGUAGUAACAGCAAAGAAAAGUGAGAAUCUUUUCCGCCGAAGGGGCCAGGGUUCCCCGGCAACGAUCGUCAGCCGGGGGUAAGUCGAUCCUAAGGCAUAACUUAACCGAUUAUGCCGAAAAAGGGAAUCCGGCUAAAAUUCCGGAACCAUAGAGGUACGCGCGGCAACGCAAGCUAAGUGUUGACGUUUCGGGGUAAGCUAAGCAAGGUCUUCGCCUUGUUUAACCGUAUAAACCUGGGGAGUGCCGUAAUGGCGAGAACCAGGCGAAAUCGGGAAUAGCCACCCGUUUUAGGGAGGUUUAGCCAAUCUCUGGAGCCACUGAAAAACACACUUAGAAGGAUCCUCUGUGAUCGUACCUAGAACCGACACAGGUGUCCCUAGGCGAGAAACCUAAGGCGUGUCGGGUAUACACUAAUGCGAGGGAACUCGGCAAAUUAGCCCCGUACCUUUGGUAUAAGGGGUGCCUGUUCUUUCAGCUUCGGCUGGGAGAGCAGGUCGCAGUGACAAAGGGGUCUCGACUGUUUAAUAAAAACAUAGGAAGCCGCAAGAGCGAAAGCUUGUGAACGGCUUCUGAAUCCUGGCCAGUACAGGUACCUGAAACCUGGGUCCAACUGGGCUAAGGGCCUGCAAACGCCGGGAGUAACUCUGACUCUCUCAAGGUAGCCAAAUGCCUUGUCGGGUAAGUUCCGACGUGCAUGAAUG
rnacentral:rRNA from 1 species